GGGGUUUAAGUAAGGUAACGGCAAGGGUUGUGUGAUGUGGAUCAACUAGCAAGGUUGGGAAGAAGGAAGUUGGAUGUUUGUUUGGGGUUUUGAUUUGAGACAAGAGCUCUGA